CUUAACACAUGCAAGUCGAACGGGAUCUUCGGAUCUAGUGGCAGACGGGUGAGUAACGCGUGGGAACCUGCCCAGUAGUAGAGAAUAACUUGAGGAAACUUAAGCUAAUACUUUAUACACCCUUCGGGGAAAAGCUUUAUGCGCUAUUGGAUGGGCCCGCGUUAGAUUAGUUUGUUGGUGAGGUAAUGGCUCACCAAGACUACGAUCUAUAGCUGGUCUGAGAGGAUGAUCAGCCACACUGGGACUGAGACACGGCCCAGACUCCUACGGGAGGCAGCAGUGGGGAAUAUUGGACAAUGGGGGCAACCCUGAUCCAGCGAUGCCGCGUGAGUGAUGAAGGCCUUCGGGUUGUAAAACUCUUUCGUCAGGGAAGAUAAUGACGGUACCUGAAGAAGAAGAUCCGGCUAACUCCGUGCCAGCAGCCGCGGUAAUACGGAGGGAUCUAGCGUUAUUCGGAAUUACUGGGCGUAAAGCGAGCGUAGGCGGAUUUGUAAGUUGGAGGUGAAAUCCCAGAGCUUAACUCUGGAACUGCCUUCAAAACUACAUUUCUUGAGUUUGGUAGAGGAGAGUGGAAUUCCUAGUGUAGAGGUGAAAUUCGUAGAUAUUAGGAGGAACACCAGUGGCGAAGGCGACUCUCUGGGCCAAUACUGACGCUGAGGUUCGAAAGCAUGGGUAGCGAACAGGAUUAGAUACCCUGGUAGUCCAUGCAGUAAACGAUGAGUGCUAGAUGUUGGGAAUUUAAAUUUCCAGUAUCGCAGUUAACGCGUUAAGCACUCCGCCU
rnacentral:rRNA from 1 species